rnacentral:rRNA from 1 species
UAUUGAGGCGUAAAGAGCUCGUAGGCGGCCUGUCGCGUCGGAUGUGAAAGCCCGGGGCUUAACCCCGUGGUCUGCAUUCGAUACGGGCAGGCUAGAGUUCGGCAGGGGAGAUUGGAAUUCCUGGUGUAGCGGUGAAAUGCGCAGAUAUCAGGAGGAACACCGGUGGCGAAGGCGGAUCUCUGGGCCGAUACUGACGCUGAGGAGCGAAAGCGUGGGGAGCGAACAGGAUUAGAUACCCUGGUAGUCCACGCCGUAAACGUUGGGCACUAGGUGUGGGCGGCAUUCCACGUCGUCCGUGCCGCAGCUAACGCAUUAAGUGCCCCGCCUGGGGAGUACGGCCGCAAGGCUAAAACUCAAAGGAAUUGACGGGGGCCCGCACAAGCGGCGGAGCAUGUGGCUUAAUUCGACGCAACGCGAAGAACCUUACCAAGGCUUGACAUACACCGGAAAACUCUGGAGACAGGGUCCCCCUUUGGGUCGGUGUACAGGUGGUGCAUGGCUGUCGUC